rnacentral:misc_RNA from 1 species
GAUGAAGAACGUAGCGAAAUGCGAUAAGUAGUGUGAAUUGCAGAAUUCAGUGAAUCAUCGAAUGUUUGAACGCGCAUUGCGCCCCUUGGUAUCCCGAGGGGCAUGCCUGUUCGAGCGUCAUUUCACCACUCAAGCCUGGCUUGGUGUUGGGCGACGUCCCCUUUGGGGACGCGCCUCGAAACGCUCGGCGGCGUGGCACCGGCUUUAAGCGUAGCAGAAUCUUUCGCUUUGGAAGUCGGGGCCCCGUCUGCCGGAAGACCUACUCGCAAGGUUGACCUCGGAUCAGGCAGGGAUACCCGCUGAACUUAAGCAUAUCAAUAAGCGGAGGA